GCUAUUUCUUGUAUGGCCUUGGGCAAACCACUUCAAGUCCAUGGAUGUCAGUAAAACAAGGAGGCUGUGAUAUGGCUUGGUGGAAUGCUAUACAGCCCCCUGCAUCCACAGUGUCCUGUCCUUCUGGUGACCUGUCCCAUUCCCCCGGCUCCUCGGUUCUGAACCAGAAGUUCAGAGGUUUGCAGCACUGGUACUUCUGCAGCUCCCAGCAGGCUUUUGCUCCUGAAGGAUGUGGCCAAGUUGGCUGUUGAGAACCAAAGAAAUUUCUGAAGCCUGGAACUGGGGUCUCCACAGCACUGGAAAGAGGGGAGGGACUGGGGUGUAGGGGUGGUUUCCUUGGUCUGCUAGUACAUCCUUGCUGCUGGUAGUGUGGGAAGUGAGGGAAGGGUGCUGAGUGAGCUCAGGGUCAAUGAGUGUCAGUUCCUAGGUUUGGGGUUGUCCUUGUUGUUUAACUUUCUUUUGGAUUCUGGGUGUCCUAAAUGAUAUAAACAGCUGAAGUUGCUUUA